CUAUCGACAGAGAAGUCUGGCGGGUUCCAGUCCAUAGGGUCACGAAGAGUCGGACACGACUGAGCGAUUAACACUGUAACUCAACAUCAUUACACGAGAGUGAUCAACAUUUGAGUCCGAGUGCCAGUCACUGAGCCAGCAAAUUCUCUGUGCUAAGUCCUGGACACAGAAUCAGACUGGGUACGCUCUGAGAGGCUCACGUCGGGUGGGAGAAGUCAGAGCCGGAAACAAGGAAGUGUUCCGCAAACGGCUAACGGAUCUUCUUUGUGGCGUGCAAGUUUCUCUAGUUGCAGAUGUGGGAUCUUAGUUCCCUGACCAGGGAUUAAACCCAUGUCCUCUGCAUUGGAAGGUAGAUUGUUAACCACUGGACCACCAAUGGACUCCUGUAUCAGAUGAUCCCUAAAGAUACUUCUACUUCUGAUUUAUGAAGACUCAGCUACUUGUCUCUCAAGGCCUACAUACUACUGCCCCAAAGGGCAGUGAGCAGAGGCUUCUGAGAUCAUUUCAGGAGAAUGAAACAAACAAGAUAAUACAUCAACUACAAACAAACUCAAGAUUCUUGGGAAGUGGGGCUUGACAUGAACAGAGCUGAAGAGCCCAGGAUGACUAUUAAAUAUAACUAAUGGC